GUCCAGGCAAGAUAAAGUGGAAAAACCAGCAGGAACCAGCAGAUGGCUACAGACAACUUCUGAAGAGAGUCUCUCAAGAGUGACUUACUAUACAUGUUGAAGUGCUCUGAUGGAAGGAACAGAAACCUCUGAAAGGAAGCCGUCAAAGUAGGAACUGCCAACAAAAAUGUGUUAUAUGAGUCUACACGGUGAUGAAAUGGGGAGUGAUUGAGGAUUGGGGCCUAAUAAAAAGCACCUGUCUGGAAGCCAUGGCACCUGAUGUUUCUGAGGUGUCACAGGAAUAGAGUAGAAUCACGAAAAGAGAGAGAACCUCCUCGCAUCCGGCAGCACACCUAACGUUCAUUGGCACAGUGGCCUCAUCAGCACCUCUGACGUGAUCUAACUAUCCCUGUCUUCUUGUUUCCUUCAAGUCCUUCUGGAAUCUCCUUUCUAAGAUGGGAGUAAAGAUACAAAGGAAA
rnacentral:lncRNA from 1 species